CCUACGGGAGGCUGCAGUGGGGAAUCUUGCGCAAUGGGCGAAAGCCUGACGCAGCAACGCCGCGUGUGUGAUGAAGGUCUUCGGAUCGUAAAGCACUGUCGCGGACAGCUCGGUACCUCGAGAGGAAGCACCGGCUAACUCUGUGCCAGCAGCCGCGGUAAUACAGAGGGUGCGAGCGUUGUUCGGAAUUAUUGGGCGUAAAGCGCUUGUAGGCGGCACGAUAAGUCUACUGUGAAAGCCCACGGCUCAACCGUGGAAGAGCAGUAGAUACUGUCGAGCUUGAAUGUCGGAGAGGGUCGCGGAAUUCCCGGUGUAGAGGUGAAAUUCGUAGAUAUCGGGAGGAACACCAGUGGCGAAGGCGGCGACCUGGACGAAAUGACGCUGAGACGCGAAAGCGUGGGGAGCAAACAGGAUUAGAUACCCUUGUAGUC
rnacentral:rRNA from 1 species